CGCAGAAAAGCUGUUCUACUCGUGAUUACGGUUUAUCACAGGGGAAGGAUACAGAUUAAAGUCAGCAAAGAGCAAAAGCUCGAGGAGCGGGACCCGGCAAGGCCAGGCGCCAGCUUCCAGUGUCCGCCCUUGGAGUCAGCGGACAGCCGUGAAUUCUCCACGUGGACUGUCGCCAAGCAGGGACACCCGCCUGAGCCCUGGGGCCCAGCGUUUUACGGGGAGGUGGGCGCGUAGGCGUGGCUGACCAGCGUGUGGCUGUCCCGGGCUGCAGCCCCUGCAGAGGUCCCGCUGAUUCUGAACGGGGGCCCAGGCCCAGCGGAAUCUCACAGGAGCCAAGGGCGUCCAUCCCGGCUGAGGUCCAGGGUGCAGAUUCUCACAGGCAGGACGCCCCAGGGGCAAGCAGGUGACAUCCUAGGAGUAGGGCCGGGCUUGCAGAUGGGCCUUUCUUGGGAACGUGCAGGAUCAGGGCCCCCUGGGCUGCUGAGCUGACUCGACCGUACAGGCCUCAGUGUUGUGCUGGGCCAGGAAUGCAUCUUCAAAGAGCUCGUGUUGAAGCCGAGGCCUGCAGGAGGGGUUUCCUUCCCUGAUUGAGGCUUCCAGUGAGACCGCAGCCCCAGCUGACACCCGCCGGCAGCCUGUGAGAGACCCUGAAGGGGGAGCCGUGCAGAUGUCUGGAGACAGAGAAUUCCGGGCAGAGGGAACGGCAGGUGCAAAGGCCCUGAGGUGGGACUGAGCUUCCAAGAAGAGACGUGAGGUGGGCACAGCCAGCCCUGAGGGAAGGAGGCGGGAUCAGAAGGGCAUCUGGAGCCAGGUCGGAGGCCUCACAGACGGCAUGGCAGACAGAUAGGGGUCCGGGAGGGCACCCCUCUGGGGGUGAAGAACUGAGCAGGUCAGGGUGCCAUACACUAAGAAGGCGAAAAUCAGUGGACAGACACCAAGGUGGCCCCACGGUCCCUGCCUCCUGGCGUUCACACCGUGUCCCUCCCUUGUCCUGGAGUGCGGGCGGGACCUUGAGACUCACUUCUAACUACAGAAUAAGACACAGAUGACUGGGCCACGCUUCCAAGACUGGCUUCCAAAUGACCGAGGCUUCCGUCUCGCUCUCACCAGCUCCGAUGACGCCAGCGGCUGCCCUGUGAGCUGCCCCGGGGGGGCCCGCUCAGCCAGAAGCUGAGGCAUCUCCUCAGCCAGGGGGCUGAGUCCUGCCAACUGCUCAGGCUGACUGUGGGGUGGAGCCUCCCCUCUCGAGCCCUCGGAUGACACUGCGGCCCCCGAGACACCCGGCUGGCAGCCUGUGAGGGGCCCUGGAGCAGAAGCCAGUGACCUGCCCUAGGUCAGGAGGGGUGUCAGGAGUCACAGAGUUUCCACGUUAAAGAGAAUCAUAAUGGACGUCUGCCUGGGGCUGGCUUCCCCCCAGUGCAGAGCCUGAGACAAGGGUUGAGAGCAGCUGCUUCACUAGAUGAGGAUUCAAGAAAGCAUCUGUAGAGAAGGCAGGAAGUGAGCUGGGGAUGGCUGGGCAGCAGAUACUGAGCUGUGGGCGCCUGGGCUCAGCCCCUCUGGAGCCCCCAGAGUUACCCCAUAUGAGGGGGUGGGGCUGGCACACAGAUCCUCUGAGAAUGAUGGAGGGCUAUUCCCAGGGAUCUCAGUACCCUUGGACUGCGGCCCCGUGGCCACGGAGCCCCAGUUGCAGCGGCACGUGGGGCCACAGCGAGGGCCGAGCACACAGGUGUGCUUCCCCUUUGCCUCGGGCCCGGGAGCGCCUCAGCGUGGCACCGCGACUGGUCUUGUCUGUGUGUAAAAUGUUGCUAUUUUAUUCCUCGUGGGCAUUUUGCAUUAAUUUUGAUUUCUUUAAAACGCUGUGUUAGAAUAACAUCUAUCUUGACUCCUGAGUUCUUUGGUGCCCCCUUAAACCUCGUUCUGCCAGGUGGUGGCUCCCUCCUUGUGUGCCUGCAGCCGGGGGGCCACCGUGGGAGGCCAGUACGUGGGGCACGGCUCAUGGUGACUGUCGCCAGUCAGAGCCCAGGCCUGGGACAGCGGGCACGUCACCCUGCGCCUGCCACGUCCGUGCAUCCCAGGUGACUGCAGAGGGAGAAGGAAACAGCCGCUGUCGGCACCGGCUCUCAAGCCCCCACCGGAAGCCACACGUGUCACACCCUCUCCCGUUUUUCCAGCCAAAACCAGUCACACCGCCACCCGCGUGGGCAGGCACCACCUCCUCCCUCGCGCCUGACAGGGGAGAGCGUCCCGGGUGGCGACCCCAGUGGCCCCGUGGCAGCCCGGCCGGGUUGAGCGGGAGCUGGGUUUCUGGACUGAGGCGGGAGGGCCAGGUGGAGACGGGAAAGUCCCAGGCUUUAGGGCACAAUUAGUGUUGACUCCCUGGGGGUUCCCCCCUGCCCCUGUCCCAGCUUCCUGCCACCUGACAGCCCCCCCCCCCCCGGGCUGGGCGUCCAGCCUCAGUCCUGUCCUAACGUCCUGCCUGGGAUUUCUCUUGUUUUAAAUGUGACGAAAUACGCAUAAUGUAGAAUUUACCGCCUUCACCAUUUUUAAGCGUCCAGUUAUUGGCAUUAAGUGCACUCACACUGUGGGGCAACCAGCCCCACCGUCCGUCUCUAGAAACGUCUCGUCUUGUCUUCCCAAACUGGAGCUCUGACCCCAUAAACACUCACUUCCUUGCCGCCUGCCCCCACCCCGGCCCUGGGAACCACCGUCCACUUCCCGUCUCUGUGAACUUGACUCCAGGGACCUCCCAUGAGCGGGAUCCUGCAGCAUCUGUCCUGUUGUGACCCGAUUAUUUCCCUCGGCGUAAUGUCCUCCAGGUCCGUCCGCGUUGGAGCAGGUGUCAGC
ensembl:lncRNA